rnacentral:rRNA from 1 species
AUGCUUUAUACGGCGAGUGAGCGGCAAAGCUCAAUUUGAAUCUGGUACCUUUGGUGCCCGAGUUGUAAUUUGGAGAGUACCACUUUGGGACUGUACUUUGCCUAUGUUCCUUUGGAACAGGACGUCAUGGAGGGUGAGAAUCCCGUGUGGCGAGGGUGUCAGUUCUUUGUAAAGGGUGCUCGAAGAGUCGAGUUGUUUGGGAAUGCAGCUCUAAGUGGGGGGUAAAUUCCAUCUAAAGCUAAAUACAGGCGAGAGGACCGAUAAGCGAACAAGUACAGUGAUGGAAAGAUGAAAAAGAACUUUGAAAAAGAAGAUUGAAAAAGUACUUGAAUUUGUUGAAGGGAAGGGCCUUUGUGACCAGACUUGGUGUUUUUGGCGCCCCUUGCCCCUCGUGGGGCUGGGGCUCUCCCGACUAUCUGGGGCCACGACUCGUUUUUGGCGGCCGGAAAAAACUAAAAAAGGGGCUCUUUGCCCCCCGGGUGAAAGUGUAAAACCCGGGGAAAACGCCCCCCCGGACCAAAAAAGGGAAAUUUGUUUUUAGGGGGGGGGAAAGGGUUAUG